rnacentral:piRNA from 1 species
UGCAGCUUGCUGGUUAGCCUAGCCUCCUGC